rnacentral:lncRNA from 1 species
GUUCAGUACAAUCCACGAUUUCAGGCACCCUCCAGGGGUCUUGGAAUGUAUCCCUCAUGAACAAGCGCCAUCGCCCGUUGUAAUUGAUGUGUUCAUCAAGUCUGAUGGGAACCCUGCUAAUUUCUCACAAGAAACUGGAUCAGCUGCAGUUAUUUCUGCCAAUACCCCAGUUGGAUGUUUCCAUUUAGAUGCCAGCUGUACACUUCUCUUCACAGGAAAGACAAGGCACCAAGACAAGCGGGAGCCACACCAAAGACUUGGAUGAUGUCAGGGCCAGCAAGGGCUUUGGGCGGAGGAGGCUCCACUGGCUGGAACUGAAUCAACCAGAACGCACAGAUCCCCGGAGGGUGGACACGCUCCCGACGCUUCUGCUCAGAGGUGCUACACAG